GAUGAAGAACGCAGCGAAAUGUGAUAAGUAAUGUGAAUUGCAGAAUUCAGUGAAUCAUCGAAUCUUUGAACGCACAUUGCGCCCGCCAGUAUUCUGGCGGGCAUGCCUGUUCGAGCGUCAUUUCAACCAUCAAGCCCCAGGCUUGUGUUGGGGACCUGCGGCUGCCGCAGGCCCUGAAAACCAGUGGCGGGCUCGCUAGUCACACCGAGCGUAGUAGCAUACACAUCGCUCAGGGCGUGCUGCGGGUUCCGGCCGUUAAACCCCUUUUUUACCCAAGGUUGACCUCGAAUCAGGUAGGAAGACCCGCUGAACUUAAGCAUAUCAAUAAGCGGAGGA
rnacentral:misc_RNA from 1 species